rnacentral:snoRNA from 1 species
GUUCCUCAUCCUUACUCCAGGGAAUUGUUGCUGGUACUAUCCCUGGCAUUAACUGAGGAUAAAUCAAUUGCUCUCACUCCAAUCCUUGAAAAUGUUUUCAGUAGGAGCAGGAAUGCUGGGCAGACAUC